rnacentral:lncRNA from 1 species
UUCCAUUCCUCCCUCUGUGGGGCUCUCCCAGAAUGCCGAGGAUGCUUCACAGCACAGCUAUGUUCCCUCCAAGUGAGCAAUCUGAAACAGGCAGAAGAUGCAGGUCACCCUGAUCAUGCAGAAAUGGUAGCCCAUUUGGUGGCAAAGGGCUAAGGUGGCCUCUGAUCCUUCUUUGGAGCAUGAAUUAUUUCACCGUUUUCAAGACAUGUGAUCUCAUUCAGAGGCCAGUGGGAAACCACCUCACUGUUGGAGAACUUUCCUGUACUUCAGUUUCCAUGUCUAUAAAAAGGUGGUGCUAAGACUUUUUCACAAAAUUAUCUUUGUGGUCUCCAUGUUUCUCUGUUUUUCCUCCUCUCUCUGUGUGUGUAUGGGGGGGGAUGUGUACAUGUGUGAAGAGAGGGAAUGUGUACAUGUGUGAAUAGAGGGAAUGUAUACAUGUGUGAAGAGAGGGAAUGUACAUGUAUGAAGACAGG